rnacentral:rRNA from 1 species
UACGUAGGGUGCAAGCGUUGUCCGGAAUUAUUGGGCGUAAAGCGCACGUAGGCGGCUUUGCAAGUCCCAUGUGAAAGCCCACGGCUUAACCGUGGAAGUGCAUGGGAAACUGCAGAGCUUGAGUACUUAAGAGGAUCGCGGAAUUCCCGGUGUAGAGGUGAAAUUCGUAGAUAUCGGGAGGAACACCAGUGGCGAAGGCGGCGAUCUGGGAAGAUACUGACGCUGAGGAGCGAAAGCGUGGGGAGCGAACAGG